rnacentral:rRNA from 1 species
CCUACGGGGGGCUGCAGUGGGGAAUAUUGGACAAUGGGCGAAAGCCUGAUCCAGCAAUACCGCGUGUGUGAUGAAGGCCUGCGGGUUGUAAAACACUUUCGUUGGGGAAGAAAUGCUCAAAGCUAAUACCUUUGAGAGUUGACGUUACCCAAAGAAGAAGCACCGGCUAACUCUGUGCCAGCAGCCGCGGUAAUACAGAGGGUGCAAGCGUUAAUCGGAGUUACUGGGCGGAAAAUGCGCGUGUCGGAAUUGAAAUCCCCGGGCUUAACCUGGGAAUUGCAUUCGAUACUGGAUAUCUCGAGUAUGGUAGAGGAAAGCGGAAUUCCCGGUGUAGCGGUGAAAUGCGUAGAUAUCGGGAAGAACAUCAGGGCGAAGGCGGCUUUCUGGACCAAUACUGACACUGAGGCGCGAAAGCGUGGGGAGCAAACAGGAUUAGAUACCCUUGUAGUC